rnacentral:misc_RNA from 1 species
AUGGAUUCAUCCUCUUUUAGCAGGUUCUUGCUUUCUCACCUAUCCUCUCUCACUCCGACUCUCUCACUUUCUAUCUCAUUCGCGAAGGAGAAAAGCAGCACACUCUCAGUUGCUCUCAGUCGUGAAGGAGUGCGCGCAAGAAGGAGUUAAAGAACAAGCAGAAGGAAGAAGCGAAAUGCCACAAGGAGGAUUGGAGCUUUUGGUUAAUUUACUGGCAAUUUCUGUUCCAAAUGGUGGUUACUGCAUUUCACAAUUUAUAUCCCUAGAUUGACUCCCUGUGUUGAGGAAGCUAAAUGUUGAACUAUGAAGCACGGAAAUGGCACUGAGUCACGUUUCCCAGUGUCCAAAAAUAUUGGAAAUCGAAAAUGCAUUUCUUUAAAUAAAAUUAAAAAAAAAGGAAAAUGGGUAGGUUAAAAUCGAUCACUUCACAACAUUCACCGUCAAGAUCAACAGAAAAGGAAGAAGAAGAAAAAGAA